GCAUAUCAAUAAGCGGAGGAAAAGAAACUAACAAGGAUUCCCCUAGUAGCGGCGAGCGAACCGGGAUGAGCUCAAAUUUGUAAUCUGGCGUCCUCCGGGCGUCCGAGUUGUAAUCUAUAGAAGCGUCUUCCGUGCCGGACCGCGUCCAAGUCCCUUGGAACAGGGCGUCAAAGAGGGUGACAAUCCCGUGCUUGAUGCGACGACCGGUGCACUGUGAUACGCUCUCUACGAGUCGAGUUGUUUGGGAAUGCAGCUCAAAGUGGGUGGUAAAUUCCAUCUAAAGCUAAAUAUUGGCGAGAGACCGAUAGCGAACAAGUACCGUGAGGGAAAGAUGAAAAGCACUUUGGAAAGAGAGUAAAACAGUAUGUGAAAUUGUUGAA
rnacentral:rRNA from 1 species